CUUGAACCAGGUGAAUCAACG
rnacentral:siRNA from 1 species